CGUGAUUGAUGCCCCCUCCAGCGGAGCUCCGGAACAGGCCCCAAGAUGGGAUCUCAUGGGUACAGAAGGUUGCGGCGGUGGAAUUAGGUUUUUGGUUCCGUAUCUGAUCGUUUGGGGGUACCUAGGUAUAUAUAGGAGGAAGGAGUACGUCGGUGGAGCAACGUGGGGCCCACGAGGGUGGAGGGUGCGCCCAGGGGGGUAGGCACGCCCCUACCUCGUGGCUUCCUGGAAGCUUCCUUGACGUAGGGUCCAACUCUCCUGGAUCAUGUUCGUUCCAAACAUCACGUUCCCGAAGGUUUCAUUCCGUUUGGACUCCGUUUGAUAUUCUUUUUCUGUGAAACUCUGAAAUAGGCAAAAAAACAACAAUUCUGAACUGGGCCUCCGGUUAAUAGGUUAGUCCCAAAAUAAUAAUAUAAAAGUUAAUAAUAAAGCCCAAUAAUGUCCAAAAUAGAAGAUAAUAUAGCAUGGAGCAAUAUUAAAUUAUAGAUACGUUGGAGACGUAUCAAGCAUCCCCAAGCUUAAUUCCUGCUCGUCCUCGAGUAGGUAAAUGAUAAAAACAGAAUUUUUGAUGCGCAAUGCUACUUGGCAUAAUUUCAAUGUAAUUCUUCUUAUUGUGGCAUGAAUGUUCAGAUUUGAUAUGAUUCACGAUAAAAGUUUAAUGUUGACAUAAAAACAAUAAUAUUUCAAGCAUACUAACUAAACAAUUAUGUCUUAUCAAAAUAACAUAGCCAAAGCAAGUUAUCCCUACAAAGUCAUAUAGUCUGGCUAUGCUCCAUCUUCCCAACACAAAAAAUUCAUAUCAUGUACGACCCCGGUUUUAGCCAAGCAAUUGGUUCAUACUUUUAACGCGCUUCAGCCUUUUCAACUCUUACGCAAUACAUGAGCACAAGCCAUGGAUAUAGCACUAUGGUGGAAUAAGGUAUAAUGGUAGGGGUUAUGUGGGAAGACAAAAGAGGAGAAAGUAUCACAUCAACGAGGCUAAUCAAUGGGCUAUGGAGAUGCCCAUCAAUUGAUGUUAAUGCGAGGAGUAGGCAUUGCCAUGCAACGGAUGCACUAGAGCUAUAAGUGUAUGAAAGCUCAAAAAGAAACUAAGUGGGUGUGCAUCCAACUUGCUUGCUCACGAAGACCUCGGGCAUUUGAGGAAGCCCAUCAUUGGAAUAUACAAGCCAAGUUCUAUAAUGAAAUUUCCCACUAGUAUAUGAAAAUGAGAGACUCUCUAUUAUGAAGAUCACGGUGCUACUUUGAGGCACAAGUGUGGUAAAAGGAUAGUAACAUUGUCCCUUCUCUCUUUUUCUCUCAUUUUUUUAUUUGGGCCUUUUCUCUUUUUUAUGGCCUCUUUUUUUUAGUCCGGAGUCUCAUCCCGACUUGUGGGGGAAUCAUAGUCUCCAUCAUCCUUUCCUCACUUGGGACAAUGCUCUAAUAAUGGUGAUCAUCACACUUUUAUUUACUUACGACUCAUGAAUUACAACUCAAUACUUAGAACAAAAUAUGACUCUAUAUGAAUGCCUCCGGCGGUGUACCGGGAUAUGCAAUGAAUCAAGAGCGACAUGUAUGGAAGAAUUAUGAACGGUGGCUUUGCCACAAAUACAAUGUCAACUACAUGAUGAUGCAAAGCAAUAUGACAAUGAUGGAGUAUGUCAUGAUAAAUGAAACGGUGGAAAGUUGCAUGGCAAUAUAUCUCGGAAUGGCUAUGGAAGUGCCAUGAUAGGUAGGUAUGGUGGCUGUUUUGAGGAAUAUAUAAGGAGGUUUAUGUGUGAUAGAGCGUAUCAUAUCACGGGGUUUGGAUGCACCGGCGAAGUUUGCACCAACUCUCAAUGUGAGAAAGGGCAAUGCGUGGUACCGAAGAGGCUAGAAAAUUGCGGAAAGGUAAGCGUGCGUAUAAUCCAUGGACUCACAUUAGUCAUAAAGAACUCAUAUACUUAUUGCAAAAAUUUAUUAGCCCUCGAAGCAAAGUACUACUACGCAUACUCCUAGGGGAAGGGUUGGUAGGAGUUAACCAUCGCGCGAUCCCGACCGCCACACAAAGGAAGACAAUCAACAAAUACUUCAUGCUCUGACUUCGUUACAUAACGGUUCACCAUACGUGCAUGCUACGGGAAUCACAAACUCCAACACAUGUAUUUUUCAAUUCCACAAUUACUCAACUAGCACAACUAUGAUAUUACCACCGUUAUAUCUCAAAACAAUUAUCAAGCAUCAAAUUUCUCAUGAUAUUAAUUAAAGAAAAUUGCCAUGCUAUUUUAAGGCUCUCAAAAUAAUAUAAGUGAAGCAUGAGAGAUCAAUAGUUUCUAUAAAACAAAUCCACCCCCGUACUCUAAAAGAUAUAAGUGAAGUACUAGAGCAAAACUAUAUAACUCAAAAGAUAUAAGUGAAGCACAUAGAGUAUUCUAAUAAUUUCCGAAUCAUGUGUGUCUAUCUCAAAAGGUGUGUACAGCAAGGAUGAUUGUGGUAAACUAACAAAAAAAGACUCAAAUCAUACAAUACGCUUCAAGCAAAACACAUAUCAUGUGGUGAAUAAAAAUAUAGCUCCAAGUAAAGUUACCGAUGGAAGUAGACGAAAGAGGGGAUGUCUUCCGGGGCAUCCCCAAGCUUUGGCUUUUUGGUGUCCUUAGAUUAUCUUGGGGUGCCAUGGGAAUCCCCAUGCUUAGGCUCUUGACACUCCUUGUUCCAUAUUCCAUCAAAUCUUUCACCCAAAACUUGAAAACUUCACAACACAAAACUCAGCAGAAAAUCUCGUGAGCUCCGUUAGCGAAAGAAAACAAAAGACCACUUCAAGGUACUGUAAUGAACUCAUUAUUUAUUUAUAUUGGUGUUAAACCUGCUUUAUUACAACUUCUCUAUGGUUUAUAAACUCUUUUACUAGCCAUAGAUUCAUCAAAAUAAGCAAACAACACACGAAAAACAGAAUCUGUCAAAAACAGAACAGUCUGUAGUAAUCUGUAACUAACACAAACUUCUGGAACUCAAAAAAAUCAGCCAAAAUAGCACGACCUAGACAAUUUUUUUAUUGAUCAGCAGCAAUUGGAAUCAAUAUUUUAUCACGUUCUGGUGAUUUUUAAGAACUAUUUUCGUGAACAGAAAGUUUCUGGAAUUUUCUGCAAGAUCAAAUAACUAUCAUCCAAGAAGAUCCUAUAUGUUUAACUCUGCACAAACACUAAUUAAAACAUAAAAACAUAUCUAACCAGAGGCUAGAACAAAUAUUUAUUGAAUAACAGCAAGGAAAAAUAUUGGGUUGUCUCCCAACAAGCGCUUUUCUUUAAAGCCUUUUAGCUAGGCAUUGAUAAUUUUAAUGAUGCUCACAUGAAAGACAAGAAUUGAAGAACAAAGAGAGCGUCAUAAAACACGUGACAAACACAUCUAAGUCUAACAUAAUUCCUAUGCAUAGGCAUCUUAUAGAAAAACAAAUUAUCAUAGCAAGCAAAAACUAGCAUAUGCAAGGAAGCGGAAAGGAACAAUAGCAAUCUCAACAUAACGAGAGGUAAUUUACUAACAUGAAAAUUUCUAUAACCAUAUUUCCCUCUCUCAUAAUAAUUGCAUGUAGGAUCAUAAGAAAAUUCAACAAUAUAGCUAUCACAUAACAUAUUCUCAACAUGAUCCACAUGCAUGCGAAGUUGACACUCUUCCAAAAUAGUGGGAUUAUCAUUAACUAAAGUCAUGAUUUCUCCAAGCCCACUUUUAUCAAAAAUUUCAUAAGAUUGAAUAUUAUCCAAAUAUGUGGGAUCUAAAGUUGGCACUCUUCCAAACCCACUUUCAAUAUUAUUGCAAACACUAUUAUCAAUCUUAUAUUCAUCAUGGGGCUUAAAUAAAUUUUCAAGAUCAUAAGAAGAAUCUCCCCAAUCAUGAUUAUUGCAACAGGUAGUGGACAUAGCAAAACUAGCAUCCCCAAGCUUAGGGUUUUGCAUAUUAUUAGCAAAAUUUGCACCAAUAGAAUUUAUAAUAAAAUCAUUGCAAUCAUGCUUUUUAUUCAAAGAUCUAUCGUGAAUUACUUCAUAAAGCACUUCAUCACAAUUUUCAGAUUCACGGAUUUCAAGCAAGACCUUAUAAAGAUAAUCUAAUGCAUCCAAAUCACUAGGAAUUGGUUCAUCAUAAUUGGAUCUCUUAAAAAGAUUGGCAAGCGGAUGAGGAUCCAUAGAUAUUAGCUUCUCUGUUUAGGAAUAAAUACUCAACUAUUUCAACCAAACGAGCAAAUGAGCCAAGUAAGACAUCAAGGCAAACGAAAAGACGAACGAAAAAAGGGCGAAUAAAACGGCAAGGGUGAAGUGGGGGAGAGGAAAACGAGAGGCAAAUGGCAAAUAAUGUAAUGCGGGAGAUAAGGGUUUGUGAUGGGUACUUGGUAUGUUGACUUUUGCGUAGACCUCCCCGGCAACGGCGCCAGAAAUCCUUCUUGCUACCUCUUGAGCACUGCGUUGGUUUUCCCUUGAAGAGGAAAGGGUGAUACAGCAAAGUAGCGUAAGUAUUUCCCUCAGUUUUUGAGAACCAAUGUAUCAAUCCAGUAGGAGGCUACGCGCGAGUCCCUCGCACCUACACAAACAAAUAAAUCCUCGCAACCAACGCGAGAAGGGGUUGUCAAUCCCUACACGGUCACUUACGAGAGUGAGAUCUGAUAGAUAUGAUAAGAUAAUAUUUUUGGUAUUUUUAUGAUAAAGAUGCAAAAUAAAAUAAAAGCAACGGAAAUAACUAAGUGUUGGAAGAUUAAUAUGAUGGAAAAUAGACCCGGGGGCCAUAGGUUUCACUAGUGGCUUCUCUCAAGAGCAUAAGUAUUUUACGGUGGGUGAACAAAUUACUGUUUAGCAAUUGACAGAAUUGAGCAUAGUUAUGAGAAUAUCUAGGUAUGAUAAUGUAUAUAGGCAUCACGUCCGAGACAAGUAGACCGACUCCUGCCUGCAUCUACUACUAUUACUCCACACAUCGACCGCUAUCCAGCAUGCAUCUAGAGUAUUAAGUUCAUAAGAACAGAGUAACGCUUUAAGCAAAAUGACAUGAUGUAGAGGGAUAAAUUCAUGCAAUAUGAUAAAAACCCCAUCUUGUUAUCCUCGAUGGCAACAAUACAAUAUGUGCCUUGCUGCCCGUACUGUCACUAGGAAAGGACACCGCAGGAUUGAACCCAAAGCUAAGCACUUCUCCCAUUGCAAGAAAGAUCAAUCUAGUAGGCCAAACCAAACUGAUAAUUCGAAGAGACUUGCAAAGAUAACCAAUCAUACAUAAAAGAAUUCAGAGAAGAUUCAAAUAUCGUUCAUAGAUAAACUUGAUCAUAAACCCACAAUUCAUCGAUCUCAACAAACACACCGCAAAAGAAGAUUACAUCGAAUAGAUCUCCACGAGAGAGGGGGAGAACAUUGUAUUGAGAUCCAAAAAUAGGGAAGAAGCCAUCUAGCUAAUAAAUAUGGACCCGAAGGUCUGAGGUAAACUACUCACACUUCAUCGGAGAGGCUAUGGUGUUGAUGUAGAAACCCUCCGUGAUUGAUGCCCCCUCCGGCGGAGCUCCGGAAUAGGCCCCAAGAUGGGAUCUCGUGGGUACAGAACGUUGCGGCGGUGGAAUUAGGUUUUUGGCUCCGUAUCUGAUCGUUUGGGGGUACGUAGGUAUAUAUAGGAGGAAGGAGUACGUCGGUGGAGCAACAUGGGGCCCACGAGGGUGGAGGGUGCGCCCCCUACCUCGUGGCUUCGUGGAAGCUUCCUUGACGUAGGGUCCAAGUCUCCUGGAUCAUGUUCGUUCCAAAAAUCACGUUCCCGAAGGUUUCAUUCCGUUUGGAC
rnacentral:lncRNA from 1 species